UGGAAAUUGAUGGUAAGAGAUGAAUAAACA
rnacentral:piRNA from 1 species